AUGGAGGAUGACCUUCCUCUCAAAAGAAAGAGACUGGAGGAGGACCAACGUAUGCUGCAGCGUAUACUUGACGGAGCCGACGACCCAACGGAUCUACCAUUACAACUCUUAAAGGACAUCACGAAUGAUUUCUCUGAAGGCAGAAAAAUCGGCCAGGGUGGAUCUGGAGCGGUUUACGAGGGUGUACUAGGAGAACUGAUUAUUGCCGUGAAGAGGAUCUAUGUAAACUUAGAUAAGCUUGAUGAUGAUGACAAGCAAUUUGGUCGUGAGUUUAGUAGCUUGUGCAACAUGAAUCAUCAAAAUGUAGUCCGGUAUCUUGGCUUCUGUUCUAACAUACAUCAGAAACAGAUAAGAAACUCUGUGUCAGGAGAAAUCACCUUGGCUAACGUGAGAGAAAGAUUGUUUUGUUUCGAGUACAUCAGCAAUGGAAGCCUGGAUAAGCAUAUUACCGAUGAAUUAAGAGGCUUUGAAUGGGAAACACGUUAUGAAUUAAUCAUCGGGAUUUGCAAGGGCCUGCGUUAUCUUCAUGAGGAAAAAAGGAUGAUUCACAUGGACCUUAAACCGGAAAAUAUAUUACUUGAUAAUCAAAAUUACAAAUAUAUAGUUCCAAAAAUCACGGAUUUUGGUCUAUCAAGACCAAAUAAAAACUCGCACACUGUAGGUCAACUUUACGGAACACGUGGAUACAUGGCUCCAGAAUACAGGGAAGGUAGCAAAACUACACCUGCGUGUGAUAUAUAUAGUUUGGGUGCCAUAAUCAGGGAAUUGGUAACAGGGUGUAUGGAAGUCCCUUGCAAAGAUAAUGUACUUCGAAGGUGGAGGCAUAGGUGGGGGAAGCCACCGACAUUAUUGCAAUACCAGCAAGUGACUAGAUGCAUUGAAAUAGCAGGAUUUUGCAGGGCAGAAAAACCAGAAGCUAGACCUUCUAUAUUGAAGAUAAUCAGCUUUCUGGGUGAAUCUGAAAGCACAUAUGGCCAGGUAAUCCCUUGUUUAGAUGAAGAUGACAUGCUUCGGAUUAAUCCGCUCGAACUACGGCUGCCUUCUGAGCUGAAGAACGAGAUAUCGCACUCAAUUGAGCUAACCAACGAUACAGUUAAUUGCAUUGCCUUCAACAUCCAACCGCCAAGCGUAAAGUACAUAUCGCAACCAGUAAAAGGCACUGUGCAAUCAAAAUCCAAGUGUUAUGUGAAGAUAACAGUGCAGCCACGAGAUGCUCGUGAACAUGACGAUACUGACAAGUUCAUCGUGCAAAGCAUGAAAUGGAGCGAGGGUCUUAUAGAAGAGGAUAUCACAGAAUGCAUAUCCCGUGCAAAGGCCGAGAAAGUUGUCGAUGAGGUGGAUUUGAUGGUUGUAAAUGAGCCCACGAGGCCCCAAGAGAAUUGCAGAGCAUGCUUGGAUACGUUUUAG
rnacentral:rRNA from 1 species